rnacentral:snoRNA from 1 species
AUCCUUGCACAGCAAUCUGAAUGGUUGAUGUUGGUCCUUUUUCUGAAG